UUGCCCGUUGUAUGGUGGUGGUAGUGGAAACGCCCACACGGUGACUUAAAGAACCGAGGACACCUAAACAAUGGGCAUUU
rnacentral:sRNA from 12 species